UACGUAGGGGCCAAGCGUUGUCCGGAUUUAUUGGGCGUAAAGAGCUCGUAGGCGGUUCGGCAAGUCAGCUGUGAAAUCUCCACGCUCAACGUGGAGGGGUCAGCUGAUACUGCUGUGACUCGAGUCCGGUAGGGGAGUGUGGAAUUCCCGGUGUGAGCGGUGAAAUGCGCAGAUAUCGGGAGGAACACCAGUAGCGAAGGCGGCACUCUGGGCCGGUACUGACGCUGAGGAGCGAAAGCGUGGGGAGCAAACAGG
rnacentral:rRNA from 1 species